AACGAACGCUGGCGGCAUGCCUAACACAUGCAAGUCGAACGAUUGCCUUCGGGUGAUAGUGGCGCACGGGUGCGUAACGCGUGGUAAUCUGCCCUUAGGUUCGGAAUAACAGCUGGAAACGGCUGCUAAUACCGGAUGAUAUCGCGAGAUCAAAGAUUUAUCGCCUGAGGAUGAGCCCGCGUUGGAUUAGGUAGUUGGUGGGGUAAAGGCCUACCAAGCCGACGAUCCAUAGAUGGUCUGAGAGGAUGAUCAGCCACACUGGGACUGAGACACGGCCCAGACUCCUACGGGAGGCAGCAGUGGGGAAUAUUGGACAAUGGGCGCAAGCCUGAUCCAGCAAUGCCGCGUGAGUGAUGAAGGCCCUAGGGUUGUAAAGCUCUUUUACCCGGGAAGAUAAUGACUGUACCGGGAGAAUAAGCCCCGGCUAACUCCGUG
rnacentral:rRNA from 1 species